rnacentral:lncRNA from 1 species
AGAAUUGGGGUGGGGCGCGCCAAGAGGAGCAAGCAUUAUAGAACGUGGGGAGCAUGAGAAAUACACGGAGGUGGAAACGCCGGAGUGGCUGGCGGGUAAAGGCAGCGGGCGCAGAUGAAGCGGGCUGGGCGUCCCACGCGCAGAACCGUCCCGGACAGAAGCCGCAGGGCUGCGCUGGCUGGAAAAAGGAACGCGAGUACAGCGCGCGUGGCGCGGGGUCUGCUCCAGGACGGAAUCUUUUGGGUGGCCCGCAUGAGGGGUUUGCAGGACCCCGGGCCUUUGGGAAGUUAUCUGCUAAACUCCAGUAGACCCUGAGGAGCAGCGGCUCAUGAAUCUUCUUAAACUUCUGUCAUCAGCGGCUGGGCCAGCUGAAGGUGACCAUGGCACACGAGGGAGAGAGAAGCCCGCGAGAGGCGGAGAAAUGUGGGGUCGUCCAGGAGGGUCGACAAGGCAAAGAACCUGAAGACGACCCAAAAGGGUACCUAGUAUUUCCAUGGGGAUUGGGAAAGCUACUGGC